GCCUAGUGGUUAGAGUGUCGAGGCGGCAGGGUAGCCUAGUGGUUAGAGUGUAGAGGUGGCAGGGCAGCCUAGUGGUUAGAGUGUAGGGACGGCAGGGUAGCCUAGUGGUUAGAGUGUAGAGGUGGCAGGGUAGCCUAGUGGUUAGAGUGGAGGGGCGGCAGGGUAGCCUAGUGGUUAGAGUGUAGGGACGGCAGGGUAGCCUAGUGGUUAGAGUGUAGAGGUGGCAGGGUAGCCUAGUGGUUAGAGUGGAGGGGCGGCAGGGUAGCCUAGUGGUUAGAGUGUAGAGGUGGCAGGGUAGCCUAGUGGUUAGAGUGGAGGGGCGGCAGGGUAGCCUAGUGGUUAGAGUGUAGAGGUGGCAGGGUAGCCUAGUGGUUAGAGUGUAGGGACGGCAGGGUAGCCUAGUGGUUAGAGUGUAGAGGUGGCAGGGUAGCCUAGUGGUUAGAGUGGAGGGGCGGCAGGGUAGCCUAGUGGUUAGAGUGUAGAGGCGGCAGGGUAGCCUAGUGGUUAGAGUGGAGGGGCAGCAGGGUAGCCUAGUGGUUAGAGUGUAGGGACGGCAGGGUAGCCUAGUGGUUAGAGUGUAGAGGUGGCAGGGUAGCCUAGUGGUUAGAGUGGAGGGGCGGCAGGGUAGCCUAGUGGUUAGAGUGUAGAGGUGGCAGGGUAGCCUAGUGGUUAGAGUGGAGGGGCGGCAGGGUAGCCUAGUGGUUAGAGUGUAGAGGUGGCAGGGUAGCCUAGUGGUUAGAGUGUAGGGGCGGCAGGGUAGCCUAGUGGUUAGAGUGUAGAGGUGGCAGGGUAGCCUAGUGGUUAGAGUGGAGGGGCGGCAGGGUAGCCUAGUGGUUAGAGUGUAGAGGCGGCAGGGUAGCCUAGUGGUUAGAGUGUAGAGGCGGCAGGGUAGCCUAGUGGUUAGAGUGGAGGGGCAGCAGGGUAGCCUAGUGGUUAGAGUGUAGAGGCGGCAGGGUAGCCUAGUGCUUAGAGUGUAGAGGCGGCAGGGUAGCCUAGUGGUUAGAGUGGAGGGGCAGCAGGGUAGCCUAGUGGUUAGAGUGUAGAGGCGGCAGGGUAGCCUAGUGCUUAGAGUGUAGAGGCGGCAGGGUAGCCUAGUGGUUAGAGUGUAGAGGUGGCAGGGUAGCCUAGUGGUUAGAGUGUAGAGGCGGCAGGGUAGCCUAGUGGUUAGAGUGUAGAGGCGGCAGGGUAGCCUAGUGGUUAGAGUGUAGAGGCGGCAGGGUAGCCUAGUGGUUAGAGUGGAGGGGCAGCAGGGUAGCCUAGUGGUUAGAGUGUAGAGGCGGCAGAGUAGCCUAGUGGUUAGAGUGUAGAGGCGGCAGGGUAGCCUAGUGGUUAGAGUGUAGAGGCGGCAGGGUAGCCUAGUGGUUAGAGUGGAGGGGCAGCAGGGUAGCCUAGUGGUUAGAGUGUAGAGGCGGCAGGGUAGCCUAGUGGUUAGAGUGGAGGGGCAGCAGGGUAGCCUAGUGGUUAGAGUGUAGAGGCGGCAGGGUAGCCUAGUGGUUAGAGUGUAGAGGCGGCAGGGUAGCCUAGUGGUUAGAGUGUAGAGGCGGCAGGGUAGCCUAGUGGUUAGAGUGUAGAGGUGGCAGGGUAGCCUAGUGGUUAGAGUGUAUAGGCGGCAGGGUAGCCUAGUGGUUAGAGUGUAGGGACGGCAGGGUAGCCUAGUGGUUAGAGUGUAGGGACGGCAGGGUAGCCUAGUGGUUAGAGUGUAGGGACGGCAGGGUAGCCUAGUGGUUAGAGUGUAGGGACGGCAGGGUAGCCUAGUGGUUAGAGUGUAGAGGCGGCAGGGUAGCUUAGUGGUUAGAGUGGAGGGGCAGCAGGGUAGCCUAGUGGUUAGAGUGUAGAGGUGGAAGGGUAGCCUAGUGGUUAGAGUGUAGAGGUGGCAGGGUAGCCUAGUGGUUAGAGUGUAGAGGUGGCAGGGUAGCCUAGUGGUUAGAGUGGAGGGGCAGCAGGGUAGCCUAGUGGUUAGAGUGUAGAGGCGGCAGGGUAGCCUAGUGGUUAGAGUGUAGAGGCGGCAGGGUAGC